rnacentral:tRNA from 1 species
GCGCCAGUGGUUUAGUGGUAAUCCCAUCUGCCAUCGAUGGGCCCGCGUUCGAUUCGCGGCUGGCGCA